GGUUAGGGAAAGCGGCUCCUUCUCUCAGCCAUGCUCAUCUUGUGUUCUCUAUAAGAUAAGGACUAAGAUUAAGGCCCAGAACCUCGUCUGAGGGUUUAACGACCGAAGUCUCAGGCUAGCUGAGACACUCCCUACAGGAGAGUUCACCGGCUGAUAACACCUGCAGGCAGUUGGGGCUUGGGGCUGGGACGCUCUGGACUGGACCAGUCAACACCUCAACUCCCGUUGUAUUUACAACUUUGAGACUUCAGGGGAACAUAUGUGAAGAGGGAACCAUCCACCUCAAAAGUUCCUCUUUCUGCCCUGUGAAACCCUCGAGUCCCCUGAGCUUCUGGGCACUCUCCACUUCCCCCCAAGACUAGAGUCCUUCAUUGUUCUAAUGAAAGGGCUCUGCUUCUGUUGAGCCCUCGCUGAACUUCCUCUAUCCAGCCUUUGCGCCAUACUUCCUGGGCCAGCUCGGCAGGGGAUGAUCCAGUGAGGGAAGACAGAGGACUGGACCAGAGCUCAGAGUCUUCCUUGGUGGAGGUGGAGGAAGGACUCAGCAGGGGUCUGUUCUCAGUCAUCUCCUUGGCAACUCCUCUGAUGCAAAUGGACAGGUCCUCCAUGUUUUGUUUUUUUUUUUUUUUUCAGGAUGUCACUGAGUCACACUGGCUGUCCUAGAACUUGCAAUGUAGAUCAGGCUGGUUUUGAACACACAGAGAUCCUCCUGCCUCUGCCUCCUGAAUACUGGGAUUAAAGGCUGUGUCACUAUGACAGGCUUCUGGUUUUUGUUCUUUUUUUGUUUUUGUUUGUUUGUCCAUAGUUUGUAUAACCUAGGAUUGACUGGUGACUUCUGAGACAAAGUGUUUGGGUGGAUUUGAAAAUAUAGACACUAAAAUCGGUUA